CUCUAUGGAAAUCCGUUAUAGAUUCAUAGCUUGGAGAGGCUUGGGAGCAUGGUGCUCAAAUGAUGUACACAACCCAUAUGGGGUGAGUUUGUGGAAAUACAUUAGGAGACAUUGGGAGAUCUUUCGAAGACAUGAACAUAUUGUGGUGGGUGAUGGCUCUCGUAUCAGAUUUUGGUAUGACAAAUGGUGUGGUGAAUGAAGCCUCCGAGACACCUUCCUUGCCAUUUUUGAACUCACACGAGAAAAGGAUGUAGCGAUAGUGAUCUCUUGGUCUUUUUUGGUGGCUCCCCUCAAUGGAUGUGGAUUUCAUUAGAGCAACCCAAGAUUGGGAGUUGGAGACUAUCAUAGAGUUCUAUAUGGCAUUGUAUUUUGUAAGCAUGGUAGAGUUUGCCAUAGAUAAGAUGAACUGGAGCUCCUCCAAAAAAGGUAAAUUCACUGUUAGAUCGUUUUACCAAGUUCUAAUGAGCCCUGGAAUGACUAUGUUCUCAUGGAAGAGUAUAUGACAGACGAAAGCUCCUUCAAAAGCUGUUUUUUUUUUUUUUUUUUUUUUGUAUGGACAACAUCAUUAGACAAGAUCCUCACAACAGAUAACUUAAGGAAAUGCUGGGUCAUAGUGUUGGACUAGUGUUGUAUGUGUAAGGAAAAUGGUGAAUCAGUAAAUCAUUUGCUUUUACACUACGAGGUGGCCAAGACUAUGUGGGAUGAUUUUGUCGUGAGAAUUGGAUUGUCAUGGGUUAUGCCUCUUAGACUAGUGAAUUUUUUUGCAAGUUGGAGAGGCUUUCGAGGUAACUCACAAGUGGCAGCAAUUUGGAGAAUGGUUUCUAUAUGUAUGUGUUGGUGUAUUUGGCGGGAGAGAAAUGAUAGGAGAUUUGAAGAUUGCGAGAGAACAAUGGAUGGACUUAAAGUUUUCUUUUUUAAAUCAUUGUCCUUAUGGGUGGGGCCAUUGUUUGUAAUGGGCUAGAUGUCCAUGAUUUUCUCCUUUCUAUUGUAAACUCUAAUUAGGUAAUUCUCAUAUAUACUCCCUGUGUUCUUGGGCUUUGCCUACUCCUAUUAAUAAAACUUUUUGAUUACCUAU